AGAGUUUGAUCCUGGCUCAGGAUGAACGCUAGCUACAGGCUUAACACAUGCAAGUCGAGGGGCAGCAUGGUCUUAGCUUGCUAAGGCCGAUGGCGACCGGCGCACGGGUGAGUAACGCGUAUCCAACCUGCCUUACACUCUUGGACAGCCUUCUGGAAGGGAGAUUAAUACAAGAUGUUAUCAUGAGUAAGCAUUUUCGCAUGAUUAAAGGUUUACCGGUGUAAGAUGGGGAUGCGUUCCAUUAGAUAGUAGGCGGGGUAACGGCCCACCUAGUCUUCGAUGGAUAGGGGUUCUGAGAGGAAGGUCCCCCACAUUGGAACUGAGACACGGUCCAAACUCCUACGGGAGGCAGCAGUGAGGAAUAUUGGUCAAUGGACGAGAGUCUGAACCAGCCAAGUAGCGUGAAGGAUGAAGGUUCUAUGGAUUGUAAACUUCUUUUAUACGGGAAUAAACGGAUCCACGCGUGGAUUUUUGCAUGUACCGUAUGAAUAAGGAUCGGCUAACUCCGUGCCAGCAGCCGCGGUAAUACGGAGGAUCCGAGCGUUAUCCGGAUUUAUUGGGUUUAAAGGGAGCGUAGAUGGGUUGUUAAGUCAGUUGUGAAAGUUUGCGGCUCAACCGUAAAAUUGCAAUUGAUACUGGCAGUCUUGAGUACAGUUGAGGUAGGCGGAAUUCGUGGUGUAGCGGUGAAAUGCUUAGAUAUCACGAAGAACUCCGAUUGCGAAGGCAGCUUACUAACCUGUAACUGACAUUGAUGCUCGAAAGUGUGGGUAUCAAACAGGAUUAGAUACCCUGGUAGUCCACACGGUAAACGAUGAAUACUCGCUGUAGGCGAUAUACAGUCUGCGGCCAAGCGAAAGCAUUAAGUAUUCCACCUGGGGAGUACGCCGGCAACGGUGAAACUCAAAGGAAUUGACGGGGGCCCGCACAAGCGGAGGAACAUGUGGUUUAAUUCGAUGAUACGCGAGGAACCUUACCCGGGCUUAAAUUGCAACCGAAUAUGGCGGAAACGCUAUAGCUAGCAAUAGCGGUUGUGAAGGUGCUGCAUGGUUGUCGUCAGCUCGUGCCGUGAGGUGUCGGCUUAAGUGCCAUAACGAGCGCAACCCUUGCCGAUAGUUACUAACAGGUUAUGCUGAGGACUCUGUCGGGACUGCCAUCGUAAGAUGUGAGGAAGGUGGGGAUGACGUCAAAUCAGCACGGCCCUUACGUCCGGGGCUACACACGUGUUACAAUGGGGGGUACAGAGGGCUGCUACCACGCAAGUGGAUGCCAAUCCCAAAAACCUCUCUCAGUUCGGAUUGAAGUCUGCAACCCGACUUCAUGAAGCUGGAUUCGCUAGUAAUCGCGCAUCAGCCACGGCGCGGUGAAUACGUUCCCGGGCCUUGUACACACCGCCCGUCAAGCCAUGGGAGCCGGGGGUACCUGAAGUGCGUAACCGCAAGGAGCGCCCUAGGGUAAAACUGGUGACUGGGGCUAAGUCGUAACAAGGUAGCCG
rnacentral:rRNA from 1 species